GUGGCGGACGGGUGAGUAACGCGUGAGUAACCUGCCUUCAAGAGGGGGAUAACAUUCUGAAAAGAAUGCUAAUACCGCAUGAUAUAUCGGAACCACAUGGUUUUGAUAUCAAAGAUUUUAUCGCUUGAAGAUGGACUCGCGUCCGAUUAGUUAGUUGGUGAGGUAACGGCUCACCAAGACCGCGAUCGGUAGCCGGACUGAGAGGUUGAACGGCCACAUUGGGACUGAGACACGGCCCAGACUCCUACGGGAGGCAGCAGUGGGGGAUAUUGCGCAAUGGGGGCAACCCUGACGCAGCAACGCCGCGUGAAGGAUGAAGGUUUUCGGAUUGUAAACUUCUUUUAUUAAGGACGAAAAUUGACGGUACUUAAUGAAUAAGCUCCGGCUAACUACGUGCCAGCAGCCGCGGUAAUACGUAGGGAGCAAGCGUUGUCCGGAUUUACUGGGUGUAA
rnacentral:rRNA from 1 species